UCUGGUUGAUCCUGCCUGAACUGAUGUGUUUAUUUCAAAGAUUAAGCCAUGCAUGUAUAAGUUUAAUCGUUUAUCGAGAAACCGCGAACGGCUCAUUACAAUGGCCAUUAUUUACUUGAUCUUGAUUGUCUAAAUGGAUAACUGUGGAAAAGCUAGAGCUAAUACAUGCACUAAAGCUUUGUCCUUACGGAAAAGCGCAUUUAUUAGAACAAAACCACGCGGCUUCGGCUGCUUCUUGUUGACUCAGAAUAACUUAGCUGACCGCAUGGCCUUGUGCCGGCGGCGUGUCUUUCAAGCGUCCACUUUAUCAACUUGACGGGAGCAUAAUCGACUCCCGUGGUGGUGACGGAUAACGGAGGAUCAGGGUUCGACUCCGGAGAAGGGGCCUGAGAAAUGGCCACUACGUCUAAGGAUGGCAGCAGGCGCGCAAAUUACCCACUCUCGGCUCGAGGAGGUAGUGACGAGAAAUAACGAGACUGUUCUCUUUGAGGCCGGUCAUCGGAAUGGGUACAAUUUAAACCCUUUAACGAGUAUCAAGCAGAGGGUAAGUCUGGUGCCAGCAGCCGCGGUAAUUCCAGCUCUGCAAAUACAUAGAAUUAUUGCUGCGGUUAGAAAGCUCAUAGUUGGAUUCGUAUCGAUACCUUGGAACCCUUCGGGUGUCUCUAGGUGUUAUCGAUUUAUCGUAAUGUUCGGUUUUUGAGUCCUUAACAGGAUUCUUAACAGGCAUUGCAAGUUUACUUUGAACAAAUCAGAGUGCUUCAAACAGGCGUUUUCGCUUGAAUGAUCGUGCAUGGAAUAAUAGAAAAUGAUUUCGGUUCAGUUUUAUUGGUUUUACGGACUGAGAUAAUGGUUAACAGAGACAAACGGGGGCAUUUGUAUGGUCCCGUGAGAGGUGAAAUUCUUGGACCGUGGCCAGACAAACUACAGCGAAAGCAUUUGCCAAGAAUGUUUUUAUUAAUCAAGAACGAAAGUCAGAGGUUCGAAGGCGAUCAGAUACCGCCCUAGUUCUGACCGUAAACGAUGCCAACUAGCGAUCCGCCGAUGGAAAUUAUAUUGCCUUGGUGGGGAGCUUCCCGAAACGAAAGUCUUCCGGUUCCGGGGGAAGUAUGGUUGCAAAGCUGAAACUUAAAGGAAUUGACGGAAGGGCACCACCAGGAGUGGAGCCUGCGGCUUAAUUUGACUCAACACGGGGAAACUCACCCGGCCCGGACACUGUGAGGAUUGACAGAUUGAUAGCUUUUUCAUGAUUCAGUGGAUGGUGGUGCAUGGCCGUUCUUAGUUCGUGGAGUGAUUUGUCUGGUUUAUUCCGAUAACGAGCGAGACUCUAACCUACUAAAUAGUUGGUACAUACUCUUAGUGUAUACAGCUUCUUAGAGGGAUUUGCGGCGUUCAGCCGAAAGAAAUUGAGCAAUAACAGGUCUGUGAUGCCCUUAGAUGUCCGGGGCUGCACGCGCGCUACACUGGCAAAAUCAACGUGCUUGUCCUACCCUGAAAGGGGCGGGUAAACCAUUGAAAAUUUGCCGUGAUUGGGAUCGGAAAUUGCAAUUAUUUUCCGUGAACGAGGAAUUCCAAGUAAGUGCGAGUCAUCAGCUCGCGUUGAUUACGUCCCUGCCCUUUGUACACACCGCCCGUCGCUGCCGGGACUGAGCCAUUUCGAGAAAUUUGGGGACCGUUGAUUUAAUUUUUCUAAAUUACUUUGAUGGAAACCAAUUUAAUCGCAGUGGCUUGAACCGGGCAAAAGUCGUAACAAGGUAGCUGUAGGUGAACCUGCUGCUG
rnacentral:rRNA from 1 species